rnacentral:rRNA from 1 species
GAUGAACGCUGGCGGCGUGCCUAAUACAUGCAAGUCGAGCGAACAGACGAGGAGCUUGCUCCUCUGACGUUAGCGGCGGACGGGUGAGUAACACGUGGAUAACCUACCUAUAAGACUGGGAUAACUUCGGGAAACCGGAGCUAAUACCGGAUAAUAUAUUGAACCGCAUGGUUCAAUAGUGAAAGACGGUUUUGCUGUCACUUAUAGAUGGAUCCGCGCCGCAUUAGCUAGUUGGUAAGGUAACGGCUUACCAAGGAAACGAUGCGUAGCCGACCUGAGAGGGGGAUCGGCCACACUGGAACUGAGACACGGUCCAGACUCCUACGGGAGGCAGCAGUAGGGAAUCUUCCGCAAUGGGCGAAAGCCUGACGGAGCAACGCCGCGUGAGUGAUGAAGGUCUUCGGAUCGUAAAACUCUGUUAUUAGGGAAGAACAAAUGUGUAAGUAACUAUGCACGUCUUGACGGUACCUAAUCAGAAAGCCACGGCUAACUACGUG